UAAUUUUUCUUUUUAAAUGUUAAUAUAAUAAUUGCAGGUGAAGAAGAAUGAAAGCCUUGAAGAUGGGAAUAAUCGUAAUGAAGAUCGGGAAACGGAACUUUCAGAAUUUUUCUCCGUAGAAGAUGAAGUGAAGAUAUUUUUUGAGACGUUGGAUGAAGAAUUGGAUAAAGUAAACGAGUUUUAUGGAAGUAGAGAGAAUGAGUUCGUGGAGAGAGGGGACAGUCUAAAGGAGCAGCUUGGAAUUUUGGUUGAAUUCAAACGCAUUCUUGAAGAUCGCCGCCGCAAAUCUUCUCCGCCCACCACCUUUUCUCGCUCCUCCUCUUUUUCUCCCCGUCACUCUAACUUCUCCGAGAACACGGAAUCAAACGAAAUGUCAGGAGAAGUAUCGGAGACGGAUGAAGCAAUAGCGGCAUUAGAGAGACACGGCGUGACGUUCAUAAACGCCGCCGUGAGAGGAAAGA